UACGUAGGGUGCGAGCGUUGUCCGGAAUUAUUGGGCGUAAAGGGCUCGUAGGCGGUGUGUCACGUCGGCCGUGAAAACCUGGGGCUUAACUCUGGGCGUGCGGUCGAUACGGGCAUCACUAGAGUUCGGCAGGGGAGACUGGAAUUCCUGGUGUAGCGGUGAAAUGCGCAGAUAUCAGGGGGAACACCGGUGGCGAAGGCGGGUCUCUGGGCCGAUACUGACGCUGAGGAGCGAAAGCGUGGGGAGCGAACAGG
rnacentral:rRNA from 1 species